rnacentral:tRNA from 1 species
CGGGGCCGUAGCUCAGCCAGGCAGAGCGGCGGGCUCCAGACCCGUAGACCCCAAGGGGCGGAAGGCGGGGGUUCAAAUCCCUCCGGCCCCACC